rnacentral:rRNA from 1 species
GACGAACGCUGGCGGCGCGCCUAAUACAUGCAAGUCGAGCGGGGAGGCGGGCGGAAGCCUUUGGGUGGACGUCCGUCUCUUAGCGGCGGACGGGUGAGGAACACGUAGGCAACCUGUCCUAAAGACUGGGAUAACUUCGGGAAACCGGAGCUAAUACCGGAUACGUUCUUUUCUCGCAUGAGAGAAGAUGGAAAGAUGGUUUCGGCUAUCACUUACAGAUGGGCCCGCGGAGCAUUAGCUAGUUGGUGAGGUAAUGGCUCACCAAGGCAACGAUGCGUAGCCGACCUGAGAGGGUGAUCGGCCACACUGGGACUGAGACACGGCCCAGACUCCUACGGGAGGCAGCAGUAGGGAAUCUUCCGCAAUGGACGAAAGUCUGACGGAGCAACGCCGCGUGAACGAUGAAGGCCUUCGGGUCGUAAAGUUCUGUUGUUAGGGAAGAACAAGUACCAGAGUAACUGCUGGUACCUUGACGGUACCUAACCAGAAAGCCACGGCUAACUACGUGCCAGCAGCCGCGGUAA